rnacentral:tRNA from 1 species
GCAGCCGUAGCGUAAUUGGAUAACGCAUCUGACUUCGGAUCAGAGGAUUGGGGGUUCGAGUCCUCCCGGCUGCGCCA